GUGGGGGACAACAGUUGGAACGACUGCUAAUACCGCAUAACGUCUACGGACCAAAGGGGGGGAUCUUCGGACCUCCCGCCAUUUGAUUAGCCCAAGUGAGAUUAGCUAGUUGGUGAGGUAAUGGCUCACCAAGGCGACGAUCUCUAGCUGGUUUGAGAGGAUGAUCAGCCACACUGGGACUGAGACACGGCCCAG
rnacentral:rRNA from 1 species